rnacentral:tRNA from 1 species
GGAUGGGUGGCCGAGUGGUUUAAGGCAGCGGUCUUGAAAACCGCCGUGCGGCGAACCGUACCGUGAGUUCGAAUCUCACCCCAUCCG